UGAGGAAUAUUGGUCAAUGGGCGCGAGCCUGAACCAGCCAAGUAGCGUGAAGGAUGAAGGUCCUACGGAUUGUAAACUUCUUUUAUAAAGGAAUAAAGUCGGGUAUGUAUACCCGUUUGCAUGUACUUUAUGAAUAAGGAUCGGCUAACUCCGUGCCAGCAGCCGCGGUAAUACGGAGGAUCCGAGCGUUAUCCGGAUUUAUUGGGUUUAAAGGGAGCGUAGAUGGAUGUUUAAGUCAGUUGUGAAAGUUUGCGGCUCAACCGUAAAAUUGCAGUUGAUACUGGAUAUCUUGAGUGCAGUUGAGGCAGGCGGAAUUCGUGGUGUAGCGGUGAAAUGCUUAGAUAUCACGAAGAACUCCGAUUGCGAAGGCAGCCUGCUAAGCUGCAACUGACAUUGAGGCUCGAAAGUGUGGGUAUCAAACAGAAUUAGAUACCCUGGUAGUCCACACGGUAAACGAUGAAUACUCGCUGUUUGCGAUAUACUGCAAGCGGCCAAGCGAAAGCGUUAAGUAUUCCACCUGGGGAGUACGCCGGCAACGGUGAAACUCAAAGGAAUUGACGGGGGCCCGCACAAGCGGAGGAACAUGUGGUUUAAUUCGAUGAUACGCGAGGAACCUUACCCGGGCUUAAAUUGCAGAUGAAUUACGGUGAAAGCCGUAAGCCGCAAGGCAUCUGUGAAGGUGCUGCAUGGUUGUCGUCAGCUCGUGCCGUGAGGUGUCGGCUUAAGUGCCAUAACGAGCGCAACCCUCGUGUCCAGUUACUAGCAGGUUAUGCUGAGGACUCUGGACAGACUGCCAUCGUAAGAUGUGAGGAAGGUGGGGAUGACGUCAAAUCAGCACGGCCCUUACGUCCGGGGCUACACACGUGUUACAAUGGGGGGUACAGCAGGCAGCUACCGGGCGACCGGAUGCCAAUCCCGAAAGCCUCUCUCAGUUCGGACUGGAGUCUGCAACCCGACUCCACGAAGCUGGAUUCGCUAGUAAUCGCGCAUCAGCCACGGCGCGGUGAAUACGUUCCC
rnacentral:rRNA from 1 species